GACCAGUGUGGCACAGUGGUUUCAAUGUUGGACUAGGAUUCUGGAGACCAGGGUUCAAAUCCCCUCUUGGUCA